rnacentral:rRNA from 1 species
UACAGAGGGUGCGAGCGUUGUCCGGAAUCACUGGGCGUAAAGGGCGCGUAGGUGGCGCCGCAAGUCCAUGGUGAAAGCUCGAUGCUCAACAUCGAGUCGGCCACGGAGACUGCGGGGCUCGAGCACUGUAGGGGCAGAUGGAAUUCCGGGUGUAGCGGUGGAAUGCGUAGAGAUCCGGAAGAACACCGGUGGCGAAGGCGGUCUGCUGGGCAG